UGGGGAAUAUUGGACAAUGGGCGCAAGCCUGAUCCAGCCAUGCCGCGUGAGUGAUGAAGGCCUUAGGGUUGUAAAGCUCUUUUGUCCGGGAAGAUAAUGACUGUACCGGAAGAAUAAGCCCCGGCUAACUUCGUGCCAGCAGCCGCGGUAAUACGAAGGGGGCUAGCGUUGCUCGGAAUCACUGGGCGUAAAGGGCGCGUAGGCGGACUCUUAAGUCGGGGGUGAAAGCCCAGGGCUCAACCCUGGAAUAGCCUUCGAUACUGAGAGUCUUGAGUUCGGAAGAGGUUGGUGGAAUUGCGAGUGUAGAGGUGAAAUUCGUAGAUAUUCGCAAGAACACCAGUGGCGAAGGCGGCCAACUGGUCCGAUACUGACGCUGAGGCGCGAAAGCGUGGGGAGCAAACAGG
rnacentral:rRNA from 1 species